rnacentral:lncRNA from 1 species
AAAGAAAUGGAACCUUUCAGAAGAAAUAAAUCACAAGAAUCUCGCCCGAUCUAAAUUUGUGAAGACAUGCCAAAAAAUUGAUUCCUCGGAGCCACUAUAUGCAAAAAGUAUAUGUACGGAACCGAAUUCUACAAAAUCCACUAGUAAUAAAUAACAAUAUUGCAAAUAAUAAAAAUUGAAGGAUACCUCGAGGUUCAUUUUUCUCUUCCCCUUUAGCAUCACUUCCCUUUUCCUCCUCCAUCACCUCCGGCUUCAACUCCUGUUUUUUCACCUCUUUAGCCAAUGGUGGAUCCUCCUUCAUUUUCUUUUCAGCACUUACAAUUUGUUCACGCUUCAAUUCUUUCCUCUUCUUCGCCUGGACUUCCACUUUCUCCUUCACCAUUCCAACCACAGCACUCACAUCCUUGAUCAAGAAAUCACUCUUGAAUAAAUCGCUCUCUCGCGCCACAAACUCAAAAGCCUUCUCCAGAAAUCCUAAAGGGUUUGACGGAUCGAACGCUGCUGUAAACGGCUUGUUUGACGUCGUCUGCGUCUGGUGUUCUUCUUCGUAGUCUGAGAGAAUCGCCAUACAAGCAAUUCAAAUCAACAAUUUAGGCUGAAAUUCGGAAUUAGGGUUUUGCAGCGCAGUUCUAGAAUUUUUCAUUCAAGUUUUAUUUUAUUUUUUAUUUUUUUAGGGGGUUUUUGGGGGAUCUAGUUGAGUCACUUGAGUGAAUUUAUAGCCAACAUCAAAUAAGUGCGGAUUUCAAAAAUAUAUUGUUCAUCAACAAAUCCCUUUUCACCGUGUAAACCUCCUUAGCCCUAUUCUAAACGGACAGGCUCAAUGAUAACAUUUGGUGACGGGAUUUUAGAAAAAGGAGGGAAAGUUUAGAAAUGAAUACGACCUGGUUGACUUAUCCAAAUGAAAUUCUUACACUACUCCCCCAAAUUGAUUGAAAAUCAUUACAUCUCUAAAUCCUGACCAUUAACGCUCAACAACGGUCACACCGAUCUCGUCAAAUUGCGGCCAAUCCACAUGAGCCCAUCCUCUCCUCAUUCUUCAUCUAUGCCUUAUUCUCGCGUUCAAACCAUUUCCAACCAGACACAAUAAAGGCCAUUACACAUAGCGAAGAAGAGAGAAGCUCCACUUCCCCAAAUCCCUGAAGGUAUCAUCACUCCUAUGGCUUGAC